CAGUGGCGGAGGCAGGAAAAAUGUUCACCAGGGUCAUAGUAUAUUUUUUUUGCUUAAAGUACAUAAGCUAUUGAAAAAUAAAAAUAUCACAUUACACUGAAUCUCAAAGAUGUACUCCACGCUCAAACCAACAAAAGUAUACACAGACAAUGUUCAUUUUUCUAUAUCUGAUAGAUACAUAAUUUGUAUGUUGAACCAUCAUUCUCUUUUUGUGCGAAUGGUAUAUAUCCUAUAUGUAGAAAUUUGAUGUUUCAUCAUUUGAAAUUAUAGAACAUAACAAUUUUAGUGUAAAAUGAUCUAGAAAUAGAAGAAAAAAGCCAAAAUAAGAAUUACUCUUAAGAUUUUUUACCAUUUAUAAGAGUAUAAUACUAUAUUUAUACUUGGUAGUAGAAGAAAGCUUAAAUUAAUUAUUGCAAAAUAAAAUAUUUAUUACCUUUGUUCUGCUGUUGCAAUGGACAACGAGAUUCAGAAAGAAAGGAUAAGAAGAAAACAAAACGUCUAAAUGACUAAUAAUAAUUAGAGGUCAUUGAAAUAUAUUGAUAGUUGGGUUUAAUUUAAUUAGUGGGCUUAAUUUGUUGUAAUUCUUUAUGUAAAAUUUAAUAGGCUGCAAAUUAAUUAAUGUUGUCAUUGGAUUAUGAUCCAUAAAUAAUUUGGACUAGGGUCAAUAACAUUUUAACGGGGUCAAUAAAUAUUUUGAACCAGGGUCAUUUUAAAAUUCUCAAUAAAAACCUUAAUGUUUUCAUAAUUUCAUGUGGGUCAUCUGACCACCGUGGCAAUGAAUUGCCUCCGCCACUGGUUACAAUGUCAUGUUUACAUUAAAGAUUAAACGAACAUUAAAAAUAAUAAUAUGAAAAAUAAAAAUAAACGAACAAUUACUCCAUUAGGAUAUUGUUUCCGCUAGGGACGAUUUUUGUUGCUGACAUUAAAUAUUUUGAAUAUGAUGACUCAUAGAUAUUUCAAAGCAAUACGGUGUGGGACUGUGGAUAUGUAGAUCUAAAAGCUUCCGUAUCAUACAAACUAAAGAAUUAUUAUUGGACCAUCGUUGAUUCAGUGAUACAUAGGCAAAAUGGUCACCCAUCUCGAUCACCUUAGCUUUUAUAUCUGCUGUCAAUCACUAACGCACUCCACAAAACACUUCAUAUGUAAAUACUAUUUUCUUUUUUUCGAUCGUAUCACGAUUUUUCAUCAUGUUUUUUGGCUGUUUGUAUUAUUUUCCUUUGAUGCGAUCAUAACCUAGUCUGGCCCACUAUUGACUGUGUCCAACUUAUUUUUUUUUUUUUUUUUCCGUCAAUAUUUCAUUAAAAUAGAAAGGGCUCAGCCCAAGAAAAUUACAAGAUAAAAGGCUCACGGCCCAAUUACCACAACCUGCCAAACCCUAGAGAAACCGGCCCACAGGCCCAUAAACCCAAACCCCGACACUGCCCUAACCUAGGAACUCUUGUCGGCUUAACCUAAUCACGCCUCAUCUCAUCCCGGCGGUUACCGUCGAACGGCUCUCAUCCGUCGCGCUUGUCACGGAGAGCAUCAGCGGACUAACCGCGAUAUCAUCCCAAUCACAACUCGCCUACUGGGCAUAUCAAGCCCGAGUCUCAAACACACUGCUUUCCUUCUCCUGUCGUCGUCUCCAUCGAUGGAGAGCUUCAUCGGCUACCGAUAGCUCAUCCCUUCAAAUCCGAACAACCAUCCUAACGACAAGAACCACACCGCAAAUUUCACCCAAUCCAAACAAAACAAGACCAAGAAAAAAACCCCAAAAGAGAACGGGGACCUAAACCGACAGCGUAGAGCUAUGUGAGCCCCUACCCUCCGGAGCCAAAACCGGCAAAAACGGAGCAAAGAAAGCCUCCCCUUUCCGGGAACUAGAACCGGCGGCGGCGAAGCUAAGGAAGCCUCCACCUCCCGGAGAACAAACCGACGUCGACGGAUCUGUGAUAGCCUCCAUCUCCCAGACCACUGACACAUGCAAGCCUCUCUUCUCACGCCGUGAGCCUCCACGCGACCGCGUCUUCCCUCCACGCAAGGAAACCACCGUUGAAGGAUGGUUCCAAUCCAGAGCUCCGACAAAGCGAUCGGUGAGACGCGACGAAGAAGAGGCGAAAAGAAACCUCUUUGAAAAAGAAUAAGGUUUCCGGCGACGGCACGGACGCUCACGCGCCGGCCGUACGCCGGAGAAAACUCUUAGAUCUCCUUUCUCUCUCCUUUCUCUCGAAGCUUUGGGCUCUCACGUCGUCCAACUUAUUUUUCCUUCGGGAAAAUACUUGUGCACAAAAAUAAUUAUUUGCAUGAAAUAACCAAAAUCAAAUAAAGCCCGUUAGCGAAAUUACCCAAAUCAAACCCAAUAGACAAAGGCUUUAACUUAAAGCCCACUAAUCAUAAUCGGGUCGACCCGGUCCGAGUCCGCCGUCUAAAUUCCCCAAGCCAUUCGAUAAUCGCCGGAGAUCGCAUUUUGACUAGCACCAUUCUGGGAACUGAUCGGAGAUCUGUGGAUCAUGUCGACGGAGAAUCGGGAUAAGGAGGAGGAGGAGGUGAAGACCGAUGAUGGAUCUCCGAAGAUCAAACCGAGACCGAUUGUUCAGCUGGGAAUUUUUCUCAUCUCUCACAGUCCCGUCUUCAGGUGACUUGUUUCCGCCAUCAUUUUGCUUCACAAUGUCUUUUGGUUUCUAUGUUUUGACUCUGCUUUGUUCAUUGGUGCUCCUCUGAUGGCGUUAUAGUGUGGUUUUCUCUGCUGCUGGGGUUAUGGCGCUGCUGCUGUUACCGCUGCUUGCAAAGAACACUUACAUCUCCGAGAAUGCUCUAAUGCCAGGUUUGUGCGUCUCUUAAUCUCAUGCUUUGGUUUCCUUAUGACUGUUAAUUGUAGAUGAGAACAAGAGAGAGUCAAAUGUAUAUGUCUUAAUAAUGAUAUUUUGGCUCUGUAUAAUUCGAAUAUUUCAGAGGGUUCAUCAACACUGUUGAAAGAUGUGUGUUUUGUUGUUUAGUGGUUAAUUUACGUUUUUUUUUUUUUUCGGAACAUUUUCUUCAGGCUCUGCAAGGUCUAUGCUCUCUCAUCGGGAUGUUUCUGAUGGAAGCAAACUGGUGAAUGACAUUAAGAGCUUCAGACUGAAUCAUGAAGGCCAGGGUGUGUAAGUCUUUGCUCCAUUAUAAUGCUUUCUCCAACAUUAUGAGGAAAAACAACGGAAUAGCUCUUUGGUAUACUUCUUCUGUCAAGGAAUGAAUGCACAUAGUCCAUGUUUCUUUCCAGAUUACCAGUGACAGUCUCUUGUUUUGUUCUUUACCCAAGUAAUUUAUUGAUUCCCUUUUUUUGUGUGACUUUUUUUUUCUAGUGAAGUUCAGAGGCUCAUUGGAAACUACAUGUUAGAAAUGGGUGCUGAAGUUUCUUAUCAAAAGUUCCAGCCUAAAGGGAACCACUUUCACCCACUGCACUUCUUCUCCGGUCCUGCUUCAUAUACAAAUCUAGGGAACGUCAGUUGUGCUGCUUAUGGCGUCAACGUUGCUGGGAUUAUAAGAGCCCCUCGUGGUGAUGGAAAAGAGUCUAUUGUCCUGGUUACUCCCUAUGAUUUCUUAAAUGGUGGAGAUUACGAGGCUUUGUCUUUAGGCAUUGCCAGUUCUUUAUUCUCCUUGCUCGCUAGAGUAACCUGGCUUUCCAAAGAUAUAAUAUGGCUUGUUGCUGAUUCUCGUUAUGGAGACUAUAGACCAGUUGCCGCAUGGCUAACUGAAUACCACACACCUUCGUUUGAAGUCUCUGACUUUUCCAAGUGUGACGAGCUUAAUAUAUCUGACAGCUUCAGAAGGGCUGGAACAGUGGCUGCUGCUUUGGUUGUGAAGGUUGAUGGUAGGAGUGAAAGGUUCGAGGACACGCUAAGUAUCUACGCAGAGGCUUCUAAUGGGCAGAUGCCAAACCUCGACCUCAUCAAUGUUGUGAAUUACUUAGCGGUACACAGGCAGGGCUUUUAUGUUAAGGUGGAGAAGUUUGUGUCUUUACUCUCCUCUAGUUGGCUAAAGACAGUUGGGGAAAUAUUUGAAGCUGUUGGAAAAGUGGCUCGUUCGUUAAAUCCUGACUGGAAGUUUGGUAUCCCAGCCGCAGACUAUCUUGAAGGCAGUGCUACGCUAGCAAGUUCACUUUAUUCCCAGGUAAAGUUUAUAAUGUUAUCUACCCUUACGUAAAUUAUUGUGGUUGCAGUCGCACUGAUACAUUGUAAUGUUCAUUCUCAUCAGGCCCUUGGUAUCCCAACUGGUCCUCAUGGAGCUUUCCGUGAUUAUCAAGUUGAUGCAAUUACUUUAAAAGUUUCACCUAGAUUUCCUCCUGACAAUAAAGGAAGGCAACACGAGUUCUUUCUGCGAGGUGCCCAGUGAGUUUUCGUUUUUAUACGUGGUCAUCUUUUUAUUCCUCAUACCUACCUCUGCUAGUUUAGGCGAGUCUUGUAAUGCAAAAGAACUAAGUAAAUCAUUUAUGCUGUGAAAUUUAUGAAUUGUAAUCUUUGCUACUCCUAGACUCCGUAUCAGUGUUAGAUGAUAACUCUAUGCUUGCUUUUUAAACGCAGGUUACUUGAAGGAACUAUAAGAUCAGUGAACAAUCUCCUUGAGAAGUUCCAUCAAUCGUUUUUCCUUUACCUAUUAACUUCCCCAGGCAAAUUUAUCUCUGUAGGAGUCUACAUGAUCGCCUUUGCUCUUCUUGUAGCCCCUCUUCCUAUGGUUGCAGCCUCUUUAUACAUUGAUGGAUGUACCACUCAAAACCCUGCCGAAAACCUCAAGUCAUGGAAGUGGCUAGACGCAGCUAAACAGGUCUUUGCUUUGCACCUGUUAGGUUUCAUCGUCACACUGCUUCCAUAUUUCAUAUGUCAAGUGCCCGGCGAACAAUCUCCAACAAACCGCUCCAUCAUUUGGGCCACUACGUCAUCUUCGCUUCUCCUUAUAACCUUUGUCACAAUUCCGGGUUGCUCUCCAUUCUCCUCUCGCCUCCAUGGAACUAACUGGGCUGUCUUGAAAUCAGUGACCAUCUCAGCUGCCUUCAUCGGUCUAUGCCUCAUGUCAAUAAUCAAUUUCGCCACCGCAGAGAUUGGAGCGUUGCUACUAGUGCCAAUGUGUCUAAUGGUUCGUCCUAUAAGACCCGAUUUAAGAUCAGGACGCGUUAAGAGCCUGUUGCGUGCGUUGUGCAGCAUUGCAUUGGUGACCAUUGGGUUCCCGGUCAUGUUUUUUGCAAUCUCCAAGGGAUUGAUAGGAGAAGGCCUAGUAGGGUUGAGCCUUGGAGGAGAGUUUUGGACAUGGUUAGAGUCGUUAUGGGCAUGGAAGAGUGCUACAUAUCUAUACAUAGGUAUGGUUCAUCUUCCUUGCUGGCUCCUUUGCCUCUGUAUCUUGUUUCAUCCUUCUUAAUCGUUUCUUUACACACUUUGUUUCAAUAUGUUCUUUACUUCAUCCAACAACCAUAAGUUUGUAAUUUUUGGUGUCUUGAAAAUUUGAGAAACUAAAGCAGAUACUAAGCUCUGAAGAUAUAUUAGUGUAAAAUGCGUAGUUGCUUACAGAGAAAAAAGAUAUCUUAACAAACACAAACAAAGAGAGCAAAACUGAGUAUAUCUACCAAGUUAAACUAGAUGGUUUUACUACAAAGAUUCUGGUUGCAACGACUCUGAAGUAGAGCGUGUUCUUUGUCCGAAUCCCAACAUCGAGUUACCCAAAUCAAAGUCCAAUACAAAGCCUUCUAACUGAAGUCCACCCAUUAUAAUCGGGCUGACCGGGUUCGACCCGCCGUCUACAAUCCCCAAGCAUCGAACACCACCACCAACAUCCACCAUCAGAUUCCUCCCGUGAAUCCUCCACCUCACCAUCUCGCUCUGCAAUGACAGAUCAACCGCCGGAAACUCUACCUCACUCGAAGACGUGAAGCAGAGACUGAACGGUGCUAUGGGAGCUACCGACUUAGCGUUAGUCGCAGCUUUAGUGUAAGCUUCCGCUAACACCGUGUAGACAGAGCUCUCCAGCAUCGUGUAAGGAACCACCGUGCUUAGUUCCACAGACAACGGACCAUCCACGGAGAGCCUUUUACCGUCGACUCUGAUUGAUUUAACGUUAAUCACGUAACUGCCACUCGAGCCGGAUGACAGAGGAGUGUAGACCAAGGCUUUAGACGCGGCAACUCCGAAAACAUCUUCAACCGAACUCGUUGAGACGACGCCGUUCGACUGCGACAGGAAAAGCGUUAAACGACGUCGGUCGUUAGUUUCCGCGGCGAGUUGCGAGGGAAGAGAGAUCUGGGCCCUUCCGAGGCCCAUUACUCCUUGUACCCCACUAGCGAGCCCACGUAGCAGCCAUGAAGGAGCACAAGCGAAGAGUACGUCAACGGUUCCCGGAGAAGAAACAGAUCCAAAUGACAAGACGUCUCUGGCGAGCUCUCCUCUCGCCGCGAUACCAACGGCGCCGUUUCUCACAAGCAAAUCGCACUCCGCGUUACGCGAUACUCGCUCGUCCCCAACCUUCGCCUUAAGGCAGCCGCUAGAGCUCCCGGAGACCAGACUCCGAGAAGAGGAAACAUGUCCCGAGGAACAAUCGAACCAUAGAAGCAGACCGGAGAGAUCAACGACGAGCUUGACGGGCUCCGACGAGUCGCCGAGAAGAAUCUGUGCGAUGUAUUGACCGGUAUGUAGGUCGCGAAUAACAGGGAAGACGACUCCGAUAACGGGAUUAGUUAUCUGUGAAUUUGAAAUGAGUAGAAUAGAGAGGAAGGAGAAGACGAAGAGAUUCAGACAAGAAGCCAUUACAAGUGUGAAUUAGUGUGGGGGACGAAAUGGAUGAAGAAGACUGUUUUAAAGGAUUAGUUAGGUUCUGGUUUGAAUCUGAGAUGCGGUGGGCCGACGCUGGUUUUUAAGAUUGGGAGAGCGAAUGUGAACCGAUAAGGAUUGGUUAGAUUUAGGUAAGUGCUGAGUAGACUGCGUGUCGUUUUGCGGAUUUGUGGGGACCUUUUUUUUCUUUUUGGUCAAUGUUUAUCCAUUUACUAAAAAGAAAAAGGAGACGAUUAGAGGAGUUUUGGCACGUGCCAAGAUAAUUAUUUUUCGUUUGUUUGCGAAUAUUCGUAGUCGUGUAAGGUUUAUGCCUAUGUCGCCAACUAUGUUACAUGGAAACGGAAUCGGGUACGUGAAAGUGUAAGCAUAAGGAAACGCAGAAGCGAGAUCUUUUAAAAUAUUAAGAAGCGAGUACGUGUUGGAAGCGUAUAUCUAUAUAUAAAUAAAUAAAUAUAUAUAUAUAUAUAUAUAUAUAUUAAUUAAAAAAAAUUAGGACUAAAAAUUAUAUGAUUUAAAUUUGAAAUAAUACAUUUAUUUAUUUAUAAUAAUUUUGAAAUGAUUUUAUAUUAAAACUGUAAAAAUACACAUAAAUGAAAUUUACAAAAAAUAUUAUAUUAAUUAUUUUUAAUACUUCAUAAAUAAUUGACACAAUAUAUUUCAAUAUGUGCUAUAUCUUUAAUAAAAAAUCUCAAUGCAUAAAGAUAAUUUAUAGUAUUGUUUUUAAUAUUUGUAUAUUAAUAACUCAAUAUUCAUUACUAUUAAUUUUUUUAUUUUAUAUAUUAAAACUAUGGUUUUAUAUUUUAUUGAUAUACAUUGCAUUUUUUUAAAAAACGGAAACGUGAUUCCAAAACGGAAUCGUAAGCUUCCAACAAGUUUUUAAAGAGAAUAUUUUAGAAUUGUUUUGGAAGCGAGAUUCUGCAAGCUUCCACAAGGUUCCGAUUCCGAUUCCGGUUCCGAAGCGGGAAGCAGACGUCCGAUGAAGCUUCCGUGCAACGUAGGUCGCCAACUGGAGUUAAAGUUGGUUUGGUAGAGUUACAAAGUCCAUGUGGCAACUUUUAAUUGGUAUCCAGAAUAACAGAGUUGUGGGAACUAUGAAGAGUGAGAUUGGGCUCACACAUAAAAUGGGUCUCGUAUAGAAUUUAUAUGGCGAUAUAGCCCAAUAGUUUAUGUGCGUUUUAGAUGUACAUCCAUGCCUUCUUGCAGAAAAACAAUAUGGUCUCUAGAUUCAUUUGAUAACCCACAGAUAAAGUAAGUUGACGCUACAUUCAAUUCUCAUAAGAAACAUGAUACGGAGACCAUGGCAAUACCUUCAAAUUGCCAGAAACAUUAAUUCAUUUACUCAUCUAGAUAACUCAUGAGACCUAACUCUUCUAACAAAAGCUUAUUCUUUCUUUAGCACUCAAUAAAAGAGAUACAAGUGCAUUUGGAUUAGAAAUCGAUCACAAAAAGCUUUUUAAAUUGCAAUAACAAAUGAAAAGGAAAGAAUUUUAGAUUGUCACCAAGGACAAAUAGAUUUUUAAUUGGUUAACAAGAGAUUCAAGAGAGUGUUGCACCAAGCAACUGUAGGACAAUGAUUUCUACAAUAUGACAAACUGAGUAUUUCUUCCGUUCCACAAAAAAAAAUAUUUUGGAGUUUUCACACACUUUAAAAAGUUAUAAUGUCAAAAGUAAAUUAUUUUAAUACAUAAUUUCGAAAGAAAAAAUUAUUAUAUGUAGUAAUUACCUUAACUAAUACGAAAAAAAUAGAGAAAUAAGCCAUAAGACAACCUUAUGGUUGGAUGAAAUGCAAUGUAGAUGGGUCUUUUGUCAAUCAAAAUAUUCCGAGUACAGCUGGUUAGAUAGUACGUGAUGAUCAAGGAGUGUAUAUAGGAGCAGCGCAUGCAGUUGGGAGAUAGAAAGUGAAUUACAAGGAAUUUUACUGGCAUUACAACACUGUUGGAUACAAGGUCAUCGAAGAGUGGUAAUAGAAAGCGACAACAAGAAGGUUAUGGAUAUCCUCAAUAAUAAAUCAUUGCAUUUAUCAGUCUACAAUUGGAUAAGAGAGAUAAGGUGGUGGAAACAAAAGUUUAAAGAAGUGGAAUUUAGUUGGAUCCAACUAAAAGGUAACAAGGCAGAAGACAAAUUGGCUAUUAGAUUAUAGGAAUUGGUUACAUGUUGGUUAAGGCUUCCUUUUACCUAACCAACUGGUUUAGCUUCCAUUUACUAAACCACCCAUAUAUAUACUGGGAUUGUAAAGUUGUAAACAUAACUUUGAGUAAUACAAUAUUUCUUUUCCCGUAACAAACUCUGCAAUCUCUCUCAUGCUCAAAGUUCUAAUAUGGUAUCAGAGCAGUGAAUCAUCGCUUUCUCGCUUCAUUUUCUCGGGAAAAUUCAGCUCAUUCUCGCCGAUUCUACUCAUCUAUCACCUUCGAUGAGUCUUUCGAUUCGAGAUAUUCUGGCUGUUUUCUUCGAUCUUUGUGUUCGUGAAGUAUUUGCGAUCUAUCAUCUUCUCUCUUUCACGAUUGCAGUUCUGAUUUCGAUUUCUAUCUUUCUUUGACCUUUGAUUUGCGUAUUUUCUCUCGCGCAAACAUUUUCUUGAUUUCAUCUUCCUUACUUACGGUUCAAAUCUGAUGGCGACGGUACAAGAUUCAGUUGCCGAUGAUGAGAAUCGACCUACUUCAGCGUCUCUCCUUGACCCGAACUCCAAUCCUCUGUAUGUUCACACCGCUGAUCACGCCGGUAUAUCUCUUGUCUCUGAGAAACUUGCUGGCUUAGGGAAUUUUAAUACUUGGCGUAGAUCAAUGUUGAUGGCAUUAGGAGCUCGGAACAAGUCUGUGUUUGUUGAUGGAUCGUAUCCUGAUAUUCCUGUUGAUCAUCCUGAUUAUGCUUCGUGGUCACGCUGUAACAACAUUGUUUGCACCUGGAUUGUGAAUGCGGUUGACAAAUCUAUUGCUAAAAGCAUCAUGUACCUGGACACGGCUCGUCAAAUGUGGCUUGACAUUCAUGAUCAGUUCAAGCAGAGUGAUGGUCCUCGCACAGCCGAGAUCAAGCAGCAAAUCUUUGCUGAGAUACAGGGAACACAGACUGUCAGUGAGUAUUACACACGACUGAAGCAAUUAUGGGAAGAGUUAAAGAAUCAUGAAAGUCCAUACACAUGUUGCUGUGGUCGCCGUGAUUGUGCAAGUCUCAAGCGGAUUCUUCACAGAGAAGAACAAGAUCGUGUCUUGAAAUUCCUCACUGGGUUGAAUGAUACUUUCACUGCCACCAGAGGUCAGAUUCUCAUGCUGGAACCUAAGCCAAACCUGUCCAAGGUGUUUAAUCUUGUAUCUCAAGAGGAGCGACAAAGGUCUAUGAAGAGUACAAGUGUGGUGGCAUGUCAAGUUACUAACUCAUUACCUGAGGAACAAAUGGUGGCUGCUUACAACGCAGGAUACAACAAGCAAAGACCCCGCCCAAUCUGUUCUCAUUGUGGCAUUGCGGGUCAUACAAUGAAUCGCUGCUAUAAGCUCCACGGAUAUCCACAAGGAUACAAGUCGCAGAGUCAGUCUUACAAGUCUUCUACUGGAGUGAACUCUAAUGCUAAGCCUCGUACAGAGAAUGUCGCCAACAUGCUUGUCAGUGGUACUGGUGGUAUAUCGUUUGUGGAUCAACAAGGUGUACAUUUGGGGUCGGUAACUACAGAUCAAGUGACCAAACUUCUAAGUGUCCUGAAUGUCAACAAGGGUACUUCUCACGACAACGUUUCACAGAUCUCUGGAAGUACAAUUUGCUUAUCUGAUGGAACAGCCUCAACGUCUAAACCACAACCCCAUCUCAUUCCACAAACUCUUUCUGAACAUCCUCCUUCAGGUACCAUUCCCUUUCCUAACUCACAUUAUGUUUCUGCGGGAAUUGAUAAUCGCCUUACUUUUACACAGCAUGAUUGGAUAAUAGACACUGGUGCUAGUUGUCACGUUAGUUUUGACUUAGGAUUGUUUGAAUUCACAGAAACCAUAACUCACACUUUUGUCACGCUUCCUGAUAGCACACGCAUUCCUGUUACCGUUUCUGGCACAAUCAAACUCACAAAAACUCUUACUCUAACUAAUGUUCUAUACAUUCCUCAUUUCAAGUUCAAUCUUUUGAGUAUAAGUGCUUUAACUCGAAAUAGCUCCAUUUCGGUUCUGUUUUCAUCUGAUUCGUGUUUCAUCUUUCCAAAUAACCCGUUUCUACUUCAGGGGCUUACUCAGGACUCGAUGAUUGGGAAGGGUAACCUCCACAACAAUCUCUAUGUCCUGGAAGCUUUCUCUCCUAACACGUCAACAUCUGCAUCUUUGUCUACUCAAGACUCUUCGAUUUUUCAAGUCUCGUCUGAUAUUUGGCACCAGCGGCUUGGUCACCCGUCUCAAAGCAAAAUUCAAGCACUUUCAAAACUUUUAAACAUUUCUUGUAAACAUACUGACCAAAAGAAUCCUUGUAAUAUUUGUCCUUUGGCAAAACAAAAACGUCUUUCUUUUCCUUCUUCUCCACAGUUAUCGAAAUCCCCUUUUGACUUGAUUCAUUUAGAUAUAUGGGGUCCAUUUUCUCAACCUACACACGAUGGUUUCAAAUAUUUUUUAACCAUUGUUGAUGACUGCACACGAGUUACUUGGUUAUAUCUCUUGAAAGACAAAAGUUCUGUGGCUAACAUCUUUCCUGAAUUUCUCCAAUACAUUCAAACACAAUAUCAAACACACGUUAAGGCCAUUCGUUCUGACAAUGCCCCUGAACUGGCUUUCUCAUCUCUUCUUAAAGAAAAAGGCAUUGAACAUUAUUUCUCAUGUCCUUACACACCACAACAAAACUCAGUAGUGGAACGCAAACAUCAACACAUUUUAAACGUGGCACGUGCUUUGUUAUUUCAAUCUAGAGUUCCACUUCAAUACUGGGGAGAGUGUGUACAAACAUCUGUCUACCUCAUAAACAGAACACCUUCACCUGUUUUACAAAACAAAUCCCCUUUUGAACUUCUUACUAAACGUGUGCCUUCUUAUGAUCACCUUCGUGCGUUUGGAUGUCUAUGCUUUUCUUCUACUUUGCUCAAAGACAGAAACAAAUUUUCACCACGAGCAGAACAGUGUGUCUUUUUGGGUUAUCCCCAUGGUUACAAAGGUUACAAAGUCCUCAACAUAGACACCAACAAAAUCUCCAUAACUCGUAAUGUUCUUUUCCAUGAAACUGUAUUUCCCUUUCACACCAUAUCCUCUGUUUCCUCUCCUUUGUCACCUGACUUUUUUGAUCAACAUGUCUUACCUUUACCUGUUCCUGACUCUCCCUUUCCGGCAUUUUUUGAUUUAGGAUCCAAUGUUUCCUCAAAUAUCUUUCCAGACAAUAGCUCACAUGAUUCAUCUCAAAAUCUUUCUAAUAAUUCCUCUACAUCACCUUCGGUGAUUCUUGAAUCAUCACGAACUAACACACGAUCAAAACGACAAACGAAAACACCAGCAUAUCUAGAUGAAUAUCAUUGCUAUCUCUUGAAUCAAAUUCCGGGCAUUCCUGUUCAUCCUACUCACACCACAUCAUAUCCUAUUUCUGCUUUCUUGUCUUAUGACAAGUUGGAUCCUUCUCAUAGGAAUUUUCUUCUUUCAAUCACAACCACAAAACCCCCUAAGACGUUCAAAGAGGCUCUUCUAUCCGAUGAGUUUAGAACUUCCAUGAAAUCUGAGAUGACUUCCCUAGAAGAGACGGGCACUUGGUCUAUUUGUUCUCUGCCUCCAAAUAAACACCCUGUUGGUUGUAAAUGGAUAAAUACAUACAAGUAUCAUCCUGAUGGGACUGUUGAGCGACCGAAGUCACGUCUGGUUGCAAAAGGGUACACUCAGUUAGAAGGUUUAGACUAUCUGGAUACUUUCUCUCCAGUUGCGAAAUUGGGGACAUUUCGGCUUCUUCUUGCUUUAGCGGCUGCAAAGGGCUGGUCUAUCUCUCAAUUAGACAUCAGCAACGCAUUUCUUAAUGGUGAUUUGGAUGAAGAAAUUUACAUGCGUCUUCCUGAAGGUUAUGAAGAACUAACUGGCAAGAAGUGUCCACCGAAUUCAGUUUGUCGAUUACACAAGUCCCUAUAUGGCUUGAAACAAGCAUCUCGUCAGUGGAAUCACAAACUCUCAAGCGUGAUCUUUGGCGUUGGCUUCACUCAGACACAUUCUGAUCACUCGCUUUUUGUCAGAUAUGUCGACAAAGUGUUCCUAGCUGUGUUGGUCUACGUUGAUGACAUCUUGAUUGUCUCAAAUGAUGAGACGGCUACUAUUGCUUUCAAGGAUGUUCUUAAAGCGGCUUUUAAAUUGCGUGAUCUUGGUUCAGCAAAAUACUUCUUGGGGUUUGAGAUUGCAAGAACAGAGAAAGGUAUCUCCCUCAAUCAGAGAAAGUAUUGUUUGGAGCUGUUAGAAGAAGCUGGUCUGCUUGGCUGUAAGCCAGUCUCGGUCCCUAUGGAACCUAACCUUAAGCUGGCUGCAGCAACGGGAGAAGUAUUGUCUGAUGCUAGUAUAUACAGACGUCUGGUGGGUCGCUUACUCUACUUGACUCACACAAGACCAGACAUCACGUAUGCCGUUCAUAAACUGAGCCAAUUUAUGUCUGCUCCGACUCAGGAUCAACUCCAAGCGGCUUAUCGAGUUCUGCGUUACUUGAAGAAUGAUCCUGCUCAAGGUCUCUUCUACUCUGCCUCUUCCGUGUUAAAACUUACGGCUUAUUCUGAUGCAGAUUGGGCUGCUUGCCCUGACACUCGACGCUCUGUUACUGGUUACUGUAUGUUCUUGGGUGAUUCUUUGGUGUCAUGGCGAUCCAAGAAACAACAGACAGUCUCUCGGAGUAGCUCUGAAGCGGAGUAUCGUGCAAUGGCUGAUGCCACCUGCGAGCUCAUUUGGCUAACUAACCUGCUUCAAGAGCUACAUUGUCCUCCAGUUGCACCUGCGACUUUGUUCUGUGACAAUCAGUCAGCUCUCUACAUCGCAUCAAACCCGGUGUUCCACGAGCGCACCAAGCACAUUGAGAAUGACUGUCAUAUCGUCCGAGAGCGGUUACAGAGUGGAUUUAUGAAGACUCUUCAUGUCAAAUCUAAUCUCCAGCUUGCUGAUAUAUUCACGAAACCUGUUCAACCUGGUCUGUUUCGAAGCUUACUACUCAAGAUUGGAACUCACAGUUUGUGCCUUCCAUCUUGAGAGGGGGGUAUUAGAUUAUAGGAAUUGGUUACAUGUUGGUUAAGGCUUCCUUUUACCUAACCAACUGGUUUAGCUUCCAUUUACUAAACCACCCAUAUAUAUACUGGGAUUGUAAAGUUGUAAACAUAACUUUGAGUAAUACAAUAUUUCUUUUCCCGUAACAAACUCUGCAAUCUCUCUCAUGCUCAAAGUUCUAAUAUUGGCAAAGCAGAGAUCCCAAGUUCAAGAUACAUUGAUAUAUCAUUUCUAUGUACCAUCCUUUUUUUUAUCAAAAAUACUACAUGAGGAUCAUGUAUCAUCUUUCCAUAACUAAUAAAGAUCGCUGUUAUAACAAAAGAAAAACCAGUGCCGACUUAAGUAGAUCAUGGGUCUUUGGACAAAAUAGUUUCUCAACAAAAAAUUUACAUAUAUUUUAUGGAUAAUUUUAAAAAUUUAAACCUCUUUUGUUAAUUUUUUUUAAAAAUCAGACUCUUUUUAACACUAAUUAUGCAAACAAAAAAACUGGGACCGGAAUCCACUCUCUCGUGCCCCUAUGCAUAAGCCGGCCCUGAAUAAAACAGAAAUAAAAUAUACAUUACUUGAUAUCAAAAUACGAUGAACAAAGAACGGGUUCUCGUGGAAGCGAGAUGCUCUUUCCUUAAUUCUUUAAUUGCCCACGGUUUUAUGCAAUCAGAAUCCCAUGAUACAACGUCUAACAAGAUCCUGAGAUUCGCUCCCUGUUUGCUACUUCCGGCACCCGUCAUUUCUAUAUUAGGCAGUAAUAGUUUUAGUGGUCCUGUGACUAUUACACCGUUUAGAAUCGUUGGAUCUGAUCACCUAAUCUCAGUCGCAUCAAUCUACGUUGAUGAAGUUCCUUUACCG
rnacentral:lncRNA from 1 species